rnacentral:rRNA from 1 species
AUUGAACGCUGGCGGCAGGCCUAACACAUGCAAGUCGAACGAGUGGCGGACGGGUGAGUGAUGUCUUGGCAACUGACUGAUGGCGGGGGCUAACUACUGGAAACGGUAGCUAAUACCGCAUCCCAUCGGAUGUGCCCAGAUGGGAUUAGCUAGUAGGUGGGGUAAAGGCUCACCUAGGCGACGAUACCUAGCUGGUCUGCGCGGAUGACCAGCCACACGGGAACUGAGACACGGGCCAGACUCCUACGGGAGGCAGCAGUGGGGAAUAUUGCAAAAGGGGCGCAAGCCUGAUGCAGCCAUGCCGAGUGUAUGAAGAAGGCCUUCGGGUUGUAAAGUACUUUCAGCGGGGAGGCGUUACCCGCAGAAGAAGCACCGGCUAACUCCGUGCCAGCAGCCGCGGUAAUUC